AUUGAACGCUGGCGGCAGGCUUAACACAUGCAAGUCGAGCGGAGAUGAGGUGCUUGCACCUUAUCUUAGCGGCGGACGGGUGAGUAAUGCUUAGGAAUCUGCCUAUUAGUGGGGGACAACAUUCCGAAAGGAAUGCUAAUACCGCAUACGCCCUACGGGGGAAAGCAGGGGAUCUUCGGACCUUGCGCUAAUAGAUGAGCCUAAGUCGGAUUAGCUAGUUGGUGGGGUAAAGGCCUACCAAGGCGACGAUCUGUAGCGGGUCUGAGAGGAUGAUCCGCAACACUGGGACUGGGACACGGCCCAGACUCCUACGGGAGGCAGCAGUGGGGAAUAUUGGACAAUGGGCGGAAGCCUGAUCCAGCCAUGCCGCGUGUGUGAAGAAGGCCUUUUGGUUGUAAAGCACUUUAAGCGAGGAGGAGGCUACCUGGAUUAAUACUCUAGGAUAGUGGACGUUACUCGCAGAAUAAGCACCGGCUAACUCUGUGCCAGCAGCCGCCGUAAUAC
rnacentral:rRNA from 1 species